ensembl:lncRNA
ACAGAUUUUACUGAUGUCUAUGCAGUUAAUCAUAAUCUUCAUUUUAAGCUUGUGCCUAAAAUUCAAUCCCAUUUUAAGUUUUGAUGUUAAUAAAAAUGCUUUGUGGGAUCAAGCCAGUAAUUCGUAAGCAUAUUUAUAACUAUUAUUUCCCAAUUCAUUCAAUCUCCAACCCAUUCUUAUUGGCAAGGAGAGGCCUAGAGUUUUCUGUUGCUGGUAGAUUUGUACAACAAAGAUCUCCCUUCAGUUCCUCUCUGAUAGGAUUGGAUCGAUUAACUAUGCUACUGCUUAUAUUGCUGUACCUGCCAAGUAUACGGCAAUGUAGAAAUAGGAAAAAUCAUCCUGAUGUGAACAUGUGGACAAUAGAGAAUGCCAGAACAAAUUUCAUCCCUGUACAUGUAACAAUUCCCAUUUCAUUUUGGUUCAGGACACUAGAAUUUAAGAUGUACCCCCUAGACAAACAAAGAAAAUGCCAGUUUCUAAUUCAAGAUGGCCAUUUCUUAUGAAAAACACUUUGAGAAUACUUACCAGGAAAUAGUGUUACUUGAAGAGUAAAUUGCAUUAUUUUUUUUUCUCCAACAGAGUUCUAUCUGCCCUAUUUUCACAAAGGUAAGUAAGGCAGAAUGGAGACAGCUUAUUUUUGGGGAUCUUGGGAUCUUGUCUUAGGAUUAGGAUACUAAAAUGAAGGCUCAAAUUUAUGCUUGUGUUAUGAACAUAACAGAGUUGGAGAAGACAGAAUACUGCAAGGCAGGGUAAUAUUUUUUUUUCUGUUUCUUUCCAACUUGAUGUUGCAUUUGGAGAAAUGCUGAUGAGUGCCAGUGAAGGAUUAGAAAAAAGGUGAGCCUCUAUAUUGGAAAGCAAACUCUCUUCUCCCUUUUCCAUCCCAUUUUACAUAUCCAUCAGUGAUUCUCUAGAUACACACCUGGAAACUUUAGUCAUGAACCUAUUAUCCUAUAUGGAUGUCCUUAAAUUUCAGUGAAAUUUUUCUUGUGGAUAUACUCAAGGAAUUGAAUCGGGCAAUGUCAGAAAAUGAAAACUUAUGUAGCCAUUCUCUUUGGAGCAUGAUCAUUUAAAUAGCAUGUAAAUCUAUUUUUUCCCUGCUGUUUGUAAUAUCAGUAACAUCCUCAGAAGGUGGUACUGAGAGUAGAUCUGAAAUUAGGAAUGUAUAUUGCAUAGGGAAUAUCAUUAACUAUUUGCUAUUUAUCCCAAUCUCGUGGAAAAAAACCUGAACACAGUUAAUACUGACAAACUUGUAGGUAAGAGUUCAAAUCAAAUCCUGAGAGCAACUACUGGACUUUGAAUGAUUUGGAGCAGAGCUUGGAGCAGUAUUUCAUACUCACUUCUUAUAGCCAUAGUGGAUCAAAUCAGAAGUCUGUUUCAUAUUUUCUUUGAAUUAUGUGAGUUCGAAAUCCUGAUCAUAACGUUGCUACUCAGUGGAUAUGUAUUCAUUGGCAUUAGCAUUUCUGAAUGGAUUAACUCAGCCAUUGUGAAAAACAGAUUCUGCAGUUUACUUAAAGAUAAGCAUGAGCAGCGUCAGGUCAAACAUUUUGGAAAUUUCCCAACAGAAAAGGCUCGCUCAUGGAAACUAAAUGUUCUGUAGAAAAGCUGUGAAUUUGAUGAAACUAUUGAAAAGAAGCCAGCAGGCAUUUGACCAAAAUCUUGCUAUUUUUCUGUCAGUUCACCUAUCUUUCUUUCCCCUCCUAGGCAAUAUCAGCCUCCAUGGGCUUGCAGAAGGACUGGGAAAAAGAAAACAACAACAAGGUGAGUUUCGGGCUCCUGGGCAGCAUGUUUUGGGCUAUUGUUCUAGUAGCUUGAACGGACAGUAUCUGACUGUCCUUCAGAUGAGGUACUGUAGAAGUUUCAAAUGUGUUUUCAACAACAAAUACGAGAUUUUCACAGUGUUUAUAUGUGUGAGUGGACUAUUCAGCAGAGGCAAGCAAUCGUUUCACAGAUCUCCAAACAAUCAUUAGAUGGAAAUAAAUGUCACUAGUUAUUGAGUGAUGCUAGAUAUGAUCUCAUGACCUAGAAGUCAUGGAAAGCUUUUUAUAUAAACCAUUUUCUCAAGCAAAAUUAUGCCACAAAAAAGAAUAGGCUUAUUUUUCAUCAUCUCUAUUUAUUAUAACCAUUAUUAACUUGUUCCUUGAUAACUUGAUUUAUGAAGUUUGUGACAAAUUGCUUGCUUAAUUGAAAUAUGUCAGGUUUCUAAAUAUUGAAGUUAAUUAUUCCUCCUUUUCCAGUGGAAACUGACCUUUAAUUGUACAAUAUUAAUCCACAUAUUGUAUGAAUUAUGUGAAAUACCCAUUUUCUAUGUAGAGAGAAGUAUGCAUGUGUUAUUGUAGUGGAGUACAGUUACACAAUUAUUUUUAAUUUAGGAUAUCAGUUUAAUUAAAUACUUGCAGAAACCAAGAUUUUUCAGGAAAUUUGCAAUUACAAUCAAUUUGAAUGUACUGCUAAAUUAAUAUGGUGACAAGCCUAAUAAUAAAAACUAACUAAGUAAUUAUGGGCAGGUGCUGAACAGAUGUGUAAAUAGAAGGUCUCUGCAUGGGACUUUGUUAUAUAUCAUUUUGAAAAGCAAAAGAAACCUGUUAUCCAUAGCCAUUCAUAUACGCAGUUAUAAUCAGUCACAAAAAAAGUUAGUUCUUUGAAUUUAGAUAAAUCAUUUAAAAAUGUAUAUGGCACUUAUGCUUUCAUUUUCUAUUUCUGGAAAGAAAGUCCAGUUGAUUGAAGACUGUUGCUCUACUGUACUCAAAGUCUGCCGCAGUACUAAAAUAUAUUCUUCUUUCAACACAUGUAUGAUGAGUGGGUUUUGAGUUGGAAUGAUUUAACAGUCCAAACAAUUCACAUUCCAUAUUACAAGUUAAACUUUAUUUAAAGAAGUGUGUGUGGGGGAGAAAGCUAAGACUAGUUUAGAGUUGUUUGCUCAAGUUAUUAAAUUGCCAAAAGCCCAAUUCAAUCUCAAAGUAGUUGGAAAACAGUGAAGUUGCAUUACUACUAUGAUGUCUUUUAGAUGGAUUUACAGGGUGCUCUUUUCUUUUAUUUCUGCAAACCAGUUUAUAAAAAUACACCUUUUCAGGUCUUUUAUUUUUGUGAGAGAUCUCUUCUUGUGCACUGUUAGAAACAAUCAUAUCUGUGAUGUAAGCACUUAAGCGAAACUGAAGUAGUUUCUGUAACAUUCAUAUAGAAAUCUCAAGGACAAACUGGCACCUGAGGAAAGAUGCACGUGAACCAGCCACCUGAUAGGAUGGAGAUCCUCUGCGCCUUCUGGGGAGAUUAAACAACGUCUGAGCUCCAGACUCCAAGAUACUCAAGCAGCCUGUGGAAAAUGAAAACCAGAGCAAUACUUGUUUCCUAGGAAAAAAUGAACAAAUUAAAAUGAGUGGGGAGGACAGACCCACCUCAGUUUUAGAGUGGAAAGAAAUCCUCAGGAAGCUCUGCUGUGCUCCAUCCCUGACAAAGGCUCUUUAUACUCAACAAGCCUCAGCUACUGGGCAGGAGAUGUUUAUUGUAAUGAAAGACUCUUCAGAAAGUUUGGAACACAAAGAUUUUAUCUUUGUCAGGGGAACACCUAGUGGUUAGUUAACCUUUGAAUAGGACUUCUAAGACAAUGACAACUGCAGGAUUUGGUGCUGUACGUGGUCUGGAUUUUAUUACAUGAAACACAAGGCAACAUACAAAAUAAACCUCUAAAGUUCUGACAUGGAGAGAUUUUGCUUGUCCUUUCCAAAAGAAAGUUGCCUGAAUUUCCUUCACCCUCAUGGCCAGCCACACAUACCUUCUCCUAGCUGAGCUUGGAUACCCUUUGCAGCUGCUCCCAUACUGUCUCAGUUCUUCCAUGCUCACUGUCUGAGAAAGGCAAAAAAGGAGUUUUCAGAAAAAAAAAAAGGUUUACUCCACAGGUGCAGAGAACCAUGAACUGGCUUAACCCUGGCAGCAGUGCAGAGAUAGCCCUGGUGACCCACAUGCAUUAGCACCAGCACCAGGAGCAGGAGUGCUGCUUCACCACGGUGCUGAACUGACCUCCAAUAUCCCUGCCUUUCUGCACUGUGCAUGACUUCACAGUGAGCUGGUUAAUGUUAGGAUGGGAAUCUUUGCAACACAGUUGGCAUAGAUCAGACAGUAAGCGCUGAGGUUACUUUGGCCCCUCUGAAAGUCUUUAAGUGACCGGAGUGCUUGUGUCUUCUGUGCCCUCAGCAGAGAAGCUGUUACCUCCAGCUGCAUUUUCACUGUGUGGGAAUUGUUUGAACUCACCACUGUUGCCACAGCUGCUAAAGGAAAACAUGUAGUUAAAGAUGAGGCUGUGCAUACAUUAUAGAUAUAGGCAUAUGGCUGUCAAGCUGCUGCCCAACAACUUCCAUAGUUAUAUGGCACCUUAUGUUAUCCAAAGCACUUGAAAUUUUUUAGAUAACAAAAGCAAACCAAGACAGCUAUUAUGGCUUUGUGCUGCACUUGCUUCCUGAUAGAGUUGCCAAUCCAGUACUUUGAAUUCUGUGCCAGCAGCUUUGACACAAGUGAAAGAGCAAGCUGUGCUUUUAACAGAUGCAAAUGCUUUAGUUGCAGUGAUCAUUGCUUUCUCAAAAUCAUUAUCACAUAUGUGGGAUUUCAUAUUCAUACUUUUUCAAAGCAGCAACGUUCAGAUGAUUAGAGCAACAUUUUCUUAGCACCAGUAGAUUUUUAAGGAGCAUAAGCAACUGACAUUAUCUUGACUCAAGCAAGCAUUUUACUAUCCCACCAGUGCUUCUGCUGAACAGACAAACAACACAUGGUUGGCACUGUUGGAAAUCUUGCAUAGUGCCACCACUGUGCCAUACCAGCAAUGAGCCAUACUGAUGGAUUUCUAGGAAUCUGCAGUCUUCUCUGAUUACAGGGGAAUAAGGACAAACAAAACAGUGUUAAGCCAGCAUUAAGUUACUGGCUUAGAUAUUCUCGAUUUGAGAAUAGCUCAUCACCUUUCUCUAUUUUUCCGUAUCUCUUUGUGUCAAGGGUACAGCUUCUGAAAAAGCGUGAAGUUUCUUGCUUUGUUUGAACAAGGUUACCACAAAAGUACAAGAAUUUGAUACCAUCAACUUAGUUCUUUUAAUGGCAAUUUCAGCAGCAGCAAACACAUGGAAAAGUCAUUAUGUCUGUGAAAGCAACAAAUACAAUCCAGAGAUACUGUUGUGCAUAAGACUCCCUUCCACCAGAAGACCAAGUCUGUUUUUUUUUUCUGCCAUUAAACACAUACAAUGUUAAUUCUAAGCCCCUGUUUUGUACAGGCAGGAUCUGGCAAAUUUUGGCACCAUAUACUAUUCAUCAAAGAAAGAAACAGUCCAGACCUUGUAAAGCCUUGACUCUGAAAGUGUGUGUGCUCAGAUUUAAGUAGUAUAUGAUGUGAAGCCCAGUGCAAGAGAAGGUUACUCUGAAGAACCAUAGAGGUUUUGCUCUGAGUCUUCUAUGGAAUGGGAGCAGAUCUCAGUGUAAUUUCUUGAUCAUGCACAUCCAUGAUUAAAACAAAGCACAGAUGCUUAAAACAAAAGACUGGGAAUGAGAAAAAAAUCAUUUUUCUAUCCUAAUUUUGAAGCUUUUCUUAAAAUGAAGAAAAAAAAAAAACCUCAACAGAUCUGCAUAUGUUAUAUAUAAAAACAACAACGAAAAACCCAAACAAGUUGCCUUAAUUUUUAACUCUUCUUCAGUAUUCCUCCUUCCCACAAACUUUGCCAUCCGCACUGCAGUAAUUGCAAUGUGACAGUCAGCAAAGAUUCUCCAAAACAUCCUUUUUGGUAGGAAAAGAAAAAGAGAGUUCAGGAAAAUUGUGCUCUACUGUUGAAGAAAAUUCAUAUCAUAGAAUACAAAGACUGUCUUGGGCAGAGGCUUUGGUCACUGUCUGAUGCAGGUAGCUGGCUGAGUGGCUGUGCUCUCAGCAGCUUGCUCCCCUUCUCUUUUCCUCUUUUUUCCUCCCUCUUCAUUUCCAUAUCUCCACAAAUGUUAUUUUUUCACAUUCACAUCACCAUCUCCAAAUGCAUUUGCACAGAGACACAUAAGGAUAUAAAAUAGUGUCCCCAUAAUUUAUUUCUAUCUGAUCAGGGCACUGUCAAUUCCUUGGAGAUUGUUCUGGCACAAGUCUCAAGCAAAACAAAGAAGCAGUUCCCUCUUCUUACAUUUUUCUUUUGUUAAAAAUGUUAUAAAAUGUAGACUGCACAUACCAGGUGCAAAAUACCUUUGAAAGAAGUGGAGGGUUUGUCCCUAGAAAAAAGACAUUUUUGGAGGGCAUAAAUUGUCCCUGAACCAAAUGUUUUUAUGCCAUCCACAGUAGCUGGACUUGAUGACCUUAGUAGGUCCCUUCCAUCCGGACUAUUCUAUUUUAGAAAGCAGAUGUUGGUCUUUAUAGGGUUUCCUUGUCCAGCUUAAUCACCAGACAAAUUAAUGGCUUUUCUAUCAUUUUCUUAUUGCAGAGCCCAGUGAAUAAUCUGGUAUGAAAACUGAUAGCAGUAGCACAUGGUGUCUGCUAGUACAUAUGAACUGUGUCAUUGUGGACCAUAGCUUCAUCUCUCCCUAGCUGCACCUUGUGUCACCUCAAUAUCAUGCAGGGCCUCUCAGAGGAGAUGACAGCAUGCCAGAUGAAAGUGUUGGGCAGGAUGCUGGCUCAGGAGCCCCCACACUUAUUCUUCAGCCUGCAGAGUUCACCUAUGGGUGCACAGUAGCCAGAACAGGCUCACAUUUUAAGCCAUACAGAGCCUGAAACAAGCUUGUAAUCGGGGCAUUCACAUUUAACUUAAGGUGAACUCAUCCUAUCACAUCUCUGCUGAUCCAAAAAUAAAGACUUUAACUUACAGGCACUAUUUUCAAUUAAUGUAGUUUUUCCUUGAUAAAUGCAGUGAGAUGCAGGAAGGAUCUGUUUGCAGUUUUAAUUACACUCAGUGUACACACAUAUAUCUACCUCUGGUGAUUCCAGAAGCACUCAUUAUUUGUUCAUUAUUCUAAUGACACAACCACACAUAGGUUACUUUAAAAUAAGGUAAGAUUUUGAGUGUCCAAGACACUUGGACACCUUAGAUACUCAGAAUGUCUCUUAUCCCCUACUAGGUGCUUUUCACCUGGGGCUCCUGCAGAUUGUGUACACAAACCUACUCCCAGAAUAUCCAUCUAUAAGCCAAGAAAACAAACCAACUUCUGAUCCUCUAAAACAUUCAAUAUGUAUUGCAACACUGAGGUAUCUGGCUGACAAAAACCAUUAGGUAAGGCUUUCAAGCUCCAGAGGAUAAAGUCUGCUACUAGAUUAUUUCUAUCAUGAUUAGACCAACAUCUGGCUUUCAGCUUCUCUCAUGACAGCACUGUGGUUGGGGCGCUACUUUAACUUGCAUUUUCAUAAGCUACACUGUUCAGUGAUUUAUAUCAAUCUGCUUUUAAUCACAUUGUGCCAAAAUUAACCAACUGUAAUUGCCACCCAGGGCAGGCCGUCUUCUGAAAAGGAAAUAAAUGAAAUUAGUUAUCAGGGCAGGAAGCAGCUGCCUGGCUAUGAAGUGGAAGAGCAAUCUGUGCACUAGUUUAGACUCACCCCCAUCAUGCAAGUGAAGGAGCAUGGCAGUAAUGGGGAGAAAACAAAACGGAAGAGUCCAGGAUGUCAUCUUUCUCCACUCCUCCUCUCAAUUUUUAUUCUGUGCAUUUUCAGUGGCAAAGAAAUGAAAACAUCUUUAUUUUUGUUUAAAUUCUCAGAAACUCUAUUUACAAUUCAAAAAUGUAACUUCAAAUCUGAAACAAAGUACUUCCUCUCUCUUUCUCCCAUAAUUUCAGUUUGUCAGCAAAAAUACACCCAUAAACCCAUCAUGUUCACAUAUGUGCAUACAGCAUCCAAACCACACUGUGCUCUGCAAUGUGGUGAGAGCUUUUGCAUAGCUGAAGAGGGAAAAGAAAUGGGAUCUGAAAGGUGGGAAACCUUCGGAGCAUGUCAUUUCCCUUUCUGUACUUCAGAUCUCAAACAGACUGAAGCCAGAGAGCAAGUUUCUAGCAGCUUCAGUAAGCUUUGGAACAGGCUCUACUGAUGGAGCUAGAAGCAGAUAUUAAGUUACAUCAGCUUCAUAAUAGCUGCCAAAUUUUUUUUAACUAGGAAAUAUUAGCAAACGUGAUAACACAGUGAAAUGUGGUGACAAUAGGAAUACUGUUCAUAUCUUGUUCAUUCAAGUUAUGAAACAAAGUAGAAAAUGCUAUUAAAACCAUGUGGUGAUCUUUAAAGUAUCUGGCUUUUCUUAAAGCUACGCUCAUUUUGCAAGAUCAAAGGUAAAGUGAAAUCUUUACAAAUCAUUUUGUUGAUUAGACAAUGGUGAUACAGAUUUUGCAGUAUGCAUGAAGGGGUGAAGGAGCCUGAUUUUCAUUCUGGUGCUGCAGAAAUGGAGGAGAAGGGGAUAGGGGUGCGGAAAAGGAAAGAAGGAGAGCCUUUGUUCCCACCUUAGUUCUUUCCACUGCACAGAUCUGUCACAGAAGUGGACUCUUGGAGAUCUUCCCUGGUGGGGAAGAAGGAGGUUAUCACACAGCUAACUGACUUCAGAGCUGAAAAGAAAACCACCACACAAGACCAGCCCUGAAAUACAACCAGCGUAGCCAGUAAUCAGUAACAGCUUUCUCCUUCAGCUGAAGAUACAAGAAACCCACAGCAUGUUUUCAGUAACAGUUUUGAUGCAUGCCUUGCUAUCAAGCUGCUCAAAGAGAAACCGAGGGCCCAAAACUGCAUGGCUAUAACCCAUGCCUUACAGAGCUAGAUCCUAUAAUCCCACUGAUGUAUCUUCCUUUUUUUGUAUGGUCAAAGGUUUGCCAGAUAAAGUCUGAUUUAUUGUUUAUGCUUCUAUAAUUACCUCAUGGAAGUUAAGCCCUUAGAUCUACCACACACCUCCUCUUGUAACACCACACCUAUUCUUUCCUCUUUCUCUCUUUCUGUCGGCUCACAUCUUUACUUCUCAUGUCUAUAUUCUUUGAUGUUCAAACCACUGUCACAAUUAAUGUGUGCCUGACAAGGGCAGGAAGGCAGGGAAACGAUUCCCACUCACUGUUCUCUCCUCAUUUGCUCCUUUUCUUCUCUGCAUUCAGAAAGCGAGUGAGUGACAGCUAGCCCAGAGUGCUGCUUGUACACAUCUAUUGAGGAAUGGGAACGCUUAGCAGAGUAGUAGAGCAGAUGGAAUGAAGAGCCCCAGACAAACUCACUAUAGCCCGAUAGGGCACCUUCUACCUUCAGGUCAGCCAACAAAAGACACCAGUGAAAAAGGUGUGCCUACAAUCCUCCCUGAGGCUCUUCAAAACACAAGAAUAACAAAAGAGCAGAGGUUGAUACUAAUAUCAUCAUACUAAUGUCUGCUAUCUCGGAAGUAUUCUUUAUGGUCAUUAUUUAAGGGAGCCUUAGAUGUUAUUUUCCAAGUCCAGCAAAUGUAGCUUUGAAGGAGCUUCCUCUUUUGGGUGGGAGGAUAGACUCAGUGAAGUGACAUUUGGCAGAUAAAUGAGAAAGCUGAAGCUCUGCCCAAGUAGAAGUGAAAACUAAUCUCAGAACAAAGAGCAAAUUUUAUUUAGUCCUAAACAAGCUAUGAACAAUCUGCAGAUAGUAUGACCUAAUACUUGCCAAAAAUGUGAUUACUAAUUUUGUAGGCAUGAUGCUGAACCUGGUUUAGAAAAGUAUUCUAUAAACAAAGACAUCAUAGCCAUACUUGGGAAAAAAGCUCUGUUACUGAAGCGCUCAGCACAGCCACGCACCAUCACUGAUGGGCAUACAGGGCAAAUUUUCAAGGACACAGCAUCAGCUCUUCUCUGCUUCCUGGGAACUAGAGGUGCCAUUCCUGCUGACUGACUUCUGAAGUUGAAACAGGCCAAUGUGAAUCAAUUUUUACAAGAUUACACACACACAAAGAGAACUUCUGGCUUUACCCAGCAAGAACUUGAAGUGGGUCACAGUCUGUAACCUGAAAAUUGAGACAUUUUGGAAAACGUAGCAAGACUAUGCAAAAGCAUGUCAUAUAUAUGCUGUCAUAUAUAAAUUGUGUUGUAUAUUUUAGUCUGAAGCAUGAGCAGUGUCCAUAUGAGGGGUGUUCUCAUAAUUUGUCAGCAAAUUCCAGUUAUGGAGGUAUACACCCUCAGGCUGUGGCUGUAUGACUGAGUUGUUUCAGCAUGACAAGUUGCCAAAUCAUAAUAUCUGACUCUCUGUUUCAAGCCGCAGCAGAUAAGAAGUGGUUGCUCCUUAUUUAGUCCAUAGUAAAGGAAAGUAUACACAGAAUUUUCUGACUCAGAAAGCCCAAUGAGCAGUGAAUAUUUGGCAUAUACUUAACAAAUACAUUACGUAAUCUCAGUAAAAUGCCUCUUGAAAUUCAUUUUAAUUGCAAAUUCAUGGGUUGAAGUGCUUAUGCCACAUGAAAAGUGCUUUUUACCACAUGGCACUCAGGACUUUAUUCAUCCUGCAUUGCAUUUAGACACAACUGUAGGCAUAUAUCUGCAGGGGAAAGUGCCUCUGGAUUUAGUUAAUUUGCUACAAUAACACUGCAUUUCAGAGGUAAGUAAUUCAUAUAGUGAAGCCCUUAUUUCACAACACUUUGCUAAUACCUUUCGUUUAGAGUGUUUAAAAUAUCUAUACAAAGUCCUCAUCUUUAUUAUAGUCUGAGUGAUCAUCUGAGGAGCCUCCCUUUGCAUAAGAAAGUGCUGCUUAUUAGGGCAUGCUGAAAAUCUACCGUGGAGUUUGUCAGAGAGGUUUGAGAAUUGGUACAAAUUGGUAUAGAGCACCUGGAUGUAAAUCAACUGCAAGUCCUCCAAGUUCUGGCACAGAGCUUCAGUUGAAUGAAUUUUCUUAGCUGAGAAUUGCUCCCAGAUCAAAAAUGCAGCCUUUGGAGCAAGCACAGCAAAAAUGUUACUAGCAGAGAGAUAACAUCUAAAUCAAUGAUGAGUGCCCAGCAUAUAUGACCACCUUAUAGUUAAAAUAAGAAAGAAGGAUUUUUAUUAGUUUUACAAUUGUGACUAAUAUUUUCAAGUAAUGCCAAAUGUUUUACAGAUGUUUAUAUGAACAAAUGCUGACUACAGCAUGCUGCAGCCCAGAACAGACCCAAACACUUUGGAGAAAUCCAGAUCAGAACUCCGCAGUCAGCCUUCCUGCAAACCUAAUCACAAACAGCAAAACACUGUAAGUAAUACUGAGCCAAUACAAAAUCCUACAUGCAAUUCAAGGCUUGCAGGACAUUGCAAACUCUGCUGACAGCUUCUUGUGAAGGUCUGAACCAGUCUUCUGUAUCUUAAAGCAACAGAGCCCUCGGAAAGUCCUGAAGCUGGACAUGCAAAAUGGAAUCUUGUUAAAGUGCUGGCAGGGAAUGGUUCUGAUGUCAUAGAUGCUAUGUGCUGCAUUAAAUUGCUUUGCACGUCACACAUCUACAGAAAAGAAGACAUAUCACGUGAUGAAGGUGAUGUCUUAAAAGCGGGAAUAUGGAAAAGCAGUUUGAAAGUGAUCUUGUGCUCUUGGGCUAAACUGGCAGAGAUUAACUUGUACAACUUCAAACAAGGACACUUUUGCCAACUGAGAAUAAUAAAUAUGAGGCUCUUGGAAGAGCAAUAUGACAGAACACCACAUGUCUCUCAGUUGACUUCUAUAAAUAAGACAUAACCAGGAGAUAUUUCCAAGUGUUUUCAACAGUCUAACUGUCCUCUUGAGGAUGUAUCUCACCAAUUCCACUUGGGACAAGACUCAGCAGACCAGAAAAGUUUAUUGUAAGGAAACUGUUUAAAAUACGAAGUCCAAAUUUUCCAUCUUUCUUUUUCCAAACUGACAUCUUAAAGUUCAGUGAAGCAUUAUGUCACAUGUAUGAAUUUUUAAGCAUUCUGUUGAAGUAAUGCAUUUCUGAUUAUGGAAGUACAGAAGAGAAACAUGACAAAACUGAAAAUGAAUCCAUCUUCUGUGGUAUAGUCUUCUAUACCACUCAGAUGUCUAUUUUUAUAGAUCUGCAAUUCCUUAUUGAUUUUCAUCUGAUACAGUAGAACAGCUCAGGUAGCAUUCUGUAUCAAGAUGGAAGAAUCGUAAUGCACUGUGGAGGUUCAUGCUUCAAAUGGCAUAUACAUAGCUCUAUUUCUUGACCCAGAACUUGGGAUGUAGAUGUCUUCUUCAAAAUUGCUGUUUUAAACUCUCAGCAGAAUAUUGCAUACUAUGAUCUUGAUUUUGUCACUGGUACCAUUUGAGGCAAUUUCAACAUGAACUAGAUUUACUCAAACUUUGGUAUCAGAUGACUUCAUGUUUCCCAUUACAUAAGGGAAAUAUCAGCAGAUAAUUGGAAAAGCCUAGAUAAAUAUCUUGCUAGUAAGACAAACAGUGACAAUUACCCAUUUUCCAGGUGAGAUCAGGAAUGAUCAAGAGCAGAACAGGAUUCAAAUAGGAUUAGAAAUAUAUAAGAAUAAUAACACAAUUAUGUUAGACAGGAAAAAAAAUUGAUAUAAAAGCAGUCAUAUGAAACAAUGAGCUCCUCUGGCUAACAGUCCUUUGUAACAUUCAGUGGCUUAAUGAUGAUCCAAGUAUUAUGGGAUAGCUCAGGCUGUGCAGGACACACUGCAGAGCUGAGUCUUUGCUAUGGAAAGAACCUCCUGUUUGAAACUAGUUUUCUAUAACCACUCAUUAUGAGCAUUUAUUAGGCUUAGGGCAGCUUGUCACUCCCAGAAACAAGGUGCUGGAGGCAGCACUAUACUGAUUGUAAAAAAAAUAAUGCUGCUGAAAGCAACAGUCUUUAAGAAAAAGCAAAAAAUGACCUACUUCCAUGUGGACACAGAGAUAGAUAUGAGCUGCCAGUUUAUACAACUAGCUCUGUGCUUCUGUGGAAAGGACAAGGUUUCAAGGACAGAAAGGCUAGAUAGAGGCAGGGAAGAUGGGUGCAAAGCCAUCUUCCAUUGCAAGAAUGAUUUCUUUCAAAACAAAACCUAUCUCUAGGGGUAGGAAAAUUCUGCUUUGCUGAUUGGUUUGAGAAACUGCAAACUGGCUCUGCUGGAAUAAGAAUAGUCAGAAAUUUUGUCCAGAAUUUGUGUGCUGCACAUGUCUGAGCAAACUGGUGUGGCAUCUGUUAACCUGAGAGAAAUCUUUCUCUCCUCAGAGAAAUUUUAAGAUUCAUUCAUCUGAUGUACAAACCUAUCUACAGUAAAAAAAGAAAUACAAAUUCAUCUUUAGUGAAGGGAGAGUUUCUUUUCCCCAGCUCUUUUAUAGUUCUGAGAUGAUAAAUCUGUGAGUCCUUGCAGAAAUUGAGUGCCUUAGUGUUGCUGUAGUUUUUUUUUUUUUUUACAGAAACUCAAAGUCAUUUGGAGUAAUUUUGCUGCUGAAUAAAAGCAGCUUAUAAGUCCGAAAUCUGAGGUUCUAAAUUGCCAUAGUUCAGAGUUUACUUUAUAUGCUGUUUUUUUUUUUUUUACUCUAAGCUCCCAUUUAAGACAGUGAAAAUGAGCUAGAUUGAUGGAUAUUUUAUGCCAUACUCAUGUAAUUAAUAUUUAAGUAUGUUAAACAGAAUAAGGAGAACCAAUAAUAUUUAAAAGAAUAUGGACUUACAAAGCAAUUUGGAACACUAUAAUGCUAUAUUUUAUUACACUGUAAAGAAUAUGUGGGGUUUGCUGAUACUGCUGAAAAUGACAGGCUUUAUUUAUCUUAGGAAAAGUACAGUACAUCCUGGUAGCAUCUGUUAGGUCAUCUUGUUCACUUUGUGCUUUUUCCAUUAAUGUGGCCUCAGCCUGUCUGGGGAGACACAGUAGACAGGAAGAGGCUUUUAAGACUCUGUGCCCUUAUUCACAUUUUUGAAGGUUGCUAGUUGUGCUAAAGGCACUUGUCUUCAAAAAACAAAAAUAGCUUCAAGUGCAUAUACUUGUGUGAACACCAACACAUUUAAUUUAUCUAAUACAUAUCCUACUGUCAUCUAUUCAACUAAAAAUUUGAAGCAAUCUGAAAUAAUUCUACUAGGUAACAGCACCGCUGUGCUACCAACAACUUAACAAUAUGUGUGUAAACACAUAUGUGUAUGUGUGUGUGUGUGUGUGUGUGUGUUUGUGUGCAUACGCAUGCAUGUGUAUCAUGGAGAAGAAAAUCUGUGAAUGUAGGGCUCUGCCAUGCAAGGUGAGCUAUAAGGAGAUGGCUUUGCUGACUCACAUAUCAACAGGAACCUUUGCAGACAAAGAUGCAACUUUGAUUUGCGGGCAAAGAGAUAAGAAACAACAGUAAGAAUGGUAUCCACUCUUACAUCUGCUUUGGGCAAUUCCAGCUAAACCUGUAACAUCUGUUCAUUUCGAAGAUAUUUUGGUGGCAGCUUGUACCGAAAAGAUAAUGAGAUAGAUGAGAUUCCAGUAGAUAAAGGGGCAGAGGUGCAUUUACAUGAUUUGUUUUCCUCCUGGAAAUAUUUAUUUCUAAACAAGAAGCAAAAAGCCUCACUGGGAUUAUCAUGUGGCCAUUUCAGCAGCAUUACACACCACAUCUACAGUCUUUAAAAACAAAUAAUAAGAUGCAAUAUGGCAACUUCAAUGUCAUCUUUGAUAAUUUACUCUUUAGUCAAAACUAUAAACACAUAUUUUUUUCCCCGUUGCUUGAUAUCACAGCACCUUUGCAAAGCUAAAAUAAUCUCUUAGUACCACUUCAUAGGCCUGAGAUCCUCAGGAAAUUCACAUACUAUAGGGUCUUCAAUGGCUACACUGUCACAAGCAUCCUCAAUAUAGUGUAGUGCACUUGAAGCAGACUCAGAAAGAAGCACAGCCCCUUCUGCCUCCCCCUUGGGCACCUUGAUCUCACUGCCAGGGAACAGUCACCUGUGCCACUCUUCCCCCACACUUUUGUUCAGUGUUCAGCCCCCACCCACACUGAUCCUGCUCUUAAUGUCCAUCAGGCAGAAGGCCGGAUACAGGAACUCAAUGGAUACUGUUACUAUGGCCAUUACCAUUGCUUGCAAGUGGCUGUUCUUAACUACACUUGCAAUGCAGACUCUUCUUUCUGCAAACAAUGUCGGUUUACGUCCAGCAUUACUGCGCUGGACAAGAAAUAUAUCAACCUGAGACCUAACUUUAGCUGUCCCCUAAAUAUAUCCCCAUCUGACGCGGAAGACCAUAGUGUUUAAUAAGAUCAGAAGAGAGCCUGUUUCACAUAGCAAGACCUUGCAGCAAGCAGGGAAAGCAUGGCAGAGUUUUAGGUAAGUGGGAUAUAAUUAGCCUUGUUGGAAUUUGACCAGGAUAUCAGGGUUAACACCCCUGCUCCUGUGAGAAGUGCUCUGGGAGCUCCUCAGUGGUGAGCAGUCAGGACCUCUUGUUUUCAUCACAUUCCAGGCAUGACAUGACAGCUGCCCAAAUGCACAUCACCUUAACAAAAUGGAAAUACACAUAUGACACAAUUUAUAAUGAAGUGUGGGCAUAAUCCAAGAAUACAUGAAUUUAGGUUUGUAAAAUAUCAAGAAUGAAAGAAGAGUUCUGAAUUCUGGUUCAGGGCCUCAGCUACUGGGAUGCAGUGAAAACAAAAUCAGUCCCUGGAAAACCUGUGGAGCCCAUGUAUUUCCUGAACUGCUCGGUCAAUCCAUAGUUGACCAUUGAGUCUAGAGGCUGGCAUUUCUUGCAUAUGGCUUUAUGUCACCUGCACAACUCCCUUUGGGAACUGCUCUGGUGACCAUCACCAUGCAGUGCUCCAGACCAUACAAGGGGUUGAUCACGUGGGCAGGAGUCCCAGUAAUUUUGUCACUCAGGAUGUCUUGCCCAGAUGCUUCCCCUGCAUGUGUCUUUCAGCUCCUUAUAUCCUGAUCUCACAUGAGCUGCUCUAACUCUUCUGUAUCAGCUGGUCUCCUUCCUGAGGUCUCUUCUAGCCUCAAGAUUUUAUUACUUUCCUAUGAGUCAUACAUACCAAGGAUUGGUGCAGUCUGCCCUACGCAGGAAGGCUGCAGGGCCGAACAGCUGCUGGUGGGAGGAAUGAAGCCUCUUUAAUUCCUCCAGUAAAUCUCUGCUUGCUACUAGCAACUAGCAGAGAUGUGGGGAAAAAUGACCAAUAAUUUUACACUGAUUUAUGUAUGGGCAGAAAGAUUUGUUUGAUACCCAUAUUUUCUGUAACCCAGACUGAUUAAGUUGGGUGAACUGCGUUCACCUGAGUUCAAAUCAGUAUACUUCUCACCAGAAAUUUUCAAGCAAUUCAAUUAUUUCUCCACAGACAAUCAACUGUGAACAUUGGUAGAAUUCAGAUAUUCCUAUAUUAUACAUGCCCAUAUGUUGAACACAGAAACAGAAUGGAUCAUUUCUCUCCCAGAUGUAUCUCCUUCCAGGUAACAAGAAUGCAUUGCUUGUAAUAAUAUUCCAGGGCAAUAUGAUUAGACAAAUUCCUGCACUCUAAAUAAUGACUUUAAAUUUACCUUUCUGUUUUUAUUAGCUCACUUUUUCUUAGUCAAGUAUUUUUGUUUUACAAGAAAAAUGACGCUUCUCUUUCUGACCUCAGGCUACCCAAAUUCAAACAGAGCUACGGGUUAAUAGCUAAAUGAAAAAAAGAUUGACAGAAUGAUUCACAUCUUUUUUGAUGCCUCAACAUCUUUGAAUUAUUGUUCAAGUCAGGCAUAGGUGAUGCCUAUCAGUGAAAUACUGGCGAUGAGCGCUCAGGUAACAUUCUAGUAGCUCUGCUCAGCUCCACAUGAGGAAGGAAUAUGACUUUUUUUAUCACUGAAAUUAACAGAAAAUUCCACUGAUGUAACUAGUCAGAAACAUUUUUUAAUUGCCUUUGAAUAGCAGAGUGAAUGUGAUUUUUUUUUUUUUUUUUUUGAUUUUAUGCCAAGAAGUGUUUUGGAGACUAGCUGUAGGCAUUAUAUGUCAUGACAAACAUUUUCCUAUGUGGUUAUGAGAAAACAAGACUGACACACCUACCUGUUGGAAACAGGCUACGCAGAAGAUAUCUCCUCCCUUGUGGCUUUGAGCAGCAGAAGAGAUCAGGGAUCCCACAUGGACUUGUGUAUCAUUGCAGACUCACUGCAUCCUCCUCCAGGUGGAAAGAGCCUGGGAGAAAAAUGGGGCUUCACAGGUCUGCCCAUGCUCCCCAGGAGGGUGAGGACGUGUAUUCAGCUGAAAGAAGUCAUUCCCUGCUUUUCAGCCCCAUGGCUCUUUUUACAAAGACCAUUUCCCUGUGGGUGUGGUGACAGUCACUCACCCAGGUGGUUUGCAGGAACUCAGCAAAUGCACAGCCUGGACCCCCUCACCAUUGCCGGUUGUCUGCCACAGCUAUCCCCCUGGCACUAGUGAGUUCAGCUCUCUCACGCACCAGAAAGGGACAGCAAAGCUAGGCAGCCUGGUUGGAAACAUCUGGGUGACAACACAAAGUAGAACGUACAUACAUUCUGGCAUAGGGACCACGCUUUCUUUUAUGUUUGUGUAGCAACCAGCAUAAUGCUGACACUCAAUAAAUAUUAGAUAACACAACAUUUUCUGCCUCCCGUCAGGGCUUUAUGUGUUUGCUUUAAUUCCUAUAUUCUGCAUUUCCUUAAGGGCAUUUGACAGCAAGCUGUAAAUAGCAGGGCCUGGGCAGGGCACGGGGCAGGAGAAUGGGAGCACCACAGUGUUGGUCCCUGUUUACCUUCAUGGCCUGAGGCAAGUUGCUUAGUGUGACUCCAUAUCAAUUUCCGCUCGUGCAAAGUGGGGAUAAUACUCACUUUCCCCUUCCCAGGGGAAUAAUCAGUCAGUUUGCACAGUGCUAGAAAAAUCUAAAAAUACUUCCAGAGCAUAAUGUUAUUUCUUCCCCGGAAAUCCCUAGAAUAACACAUUUAAAAAUGACAACAUAUCAGGGGGGGAAAAAAAAAGUAUUUACUAUAUUUCCAUGUCCAUAGAUGUGUUACAUAACGGGAGACUUCACCACUGAUACACUGAUACUAUCAAAGCCCAGAUAAAAACCACUUCCCACAGAAAGGGCAAAUUGGAAAAACACAAAGGGUGAGGUGUUCUGGUUCUUGAGUAAAGUGGAAUACAUCUACCCACAUACAUUUUUUUCCUCCACAAAGAACACUGGGACAGUGGAUUUUGCUCCCAGAUUUUUCUAUGUAAAACAUUUGUUGAAAAUUCAAAUAAUUUGAAAUAGGUCGUGGACCACCUGUGCAAGCAAGUGAACUGUAUUUUUACAAAGCAUAAUUAUAUCUACUCACAGAUGGUACUCUGGUUAUUAGAAAACUAGUUCUGCUUUAAGGUUUAGUGCUCAGGAUUAAAGACAGCACUGUAUAACUUAAAAGAUUUAAGAAUUAUACUGUAGGAAGUGAGGCUAUAAUAAGCUUUAGAUCAACAGUUCAUAUAGCAUCAUGGGAUUCUCAGCCGCCCAAGAGAGAGUCCUAAUACACUGUAACCUACGACUUUCCUCUUGAAACGUCUUAGUUCUAUGAAGCAAUAAACCAGUCUGGACUAAGUUACUAAAGGUCUUUGAAGUACUGGAAAGACCCAUAAAUAAGGUGAGUACUUUGGGAGGGGGGGCUCAUUUUGUGGUGUACAUAUACAGCUAUUUCAUAGUCAAGUUGAUUUGUAGCUGCCUGUAAGUAAGUUUCCUGGGAGCAAUAAAUCUUCAUUCAAGUAAAACUAAAGUGUCACCAGUAUUUAUUUUGUGCAUUUUUUACUCCAUCAUGAAAAAAAUAGUCAGCAUUCAUGUAAACUGUUCUAUGCCCAACUUGCAGCUCUGCACUAAAAUUAGGGUGCCUAGUAUGAAAUUGUUAUAAAUCUAAGUUGUAAACAUUGGGUAACAGAUGUACCACUGCAUUGCCAAAAAAGAGUGGUAACUGUCACUGGAGAAAUAAAACUGAGUUAUUGUUUCCAGUUUCAAAAGAACAGCAACAAGUCUAAAAAACUAUAUGUGAUCUUUGUCCUUUUUUCCCCUCAGACACCUGCACUCAUCUAAUGUUUCACUGAGCCCUGAAAAAUAAAUGCAUAGCUUCAGUCUCCUAAUCCAUGUGGCUCCAGAGACCACUGUUACAUGAGAACUUAAACUGAUGAUGCUGAGCGUCCUAGGGGCAGCUUAAUCUUUUUUAAUUCAAAUCAACUGAGUCCCAUGUGGCGCUAGGAUGAUACUCUAUAUGCUGCAAUCAGACUGACCUAGACUUCUUGUGCUCUAAAUGAUUAAUGAAACUGCCUCCUAGUUUGUUUCUAUGGUGAUCUGAAACUUGACACGAUAUAGGAAUCUGCCAUUCAUGCUGAAUGAAUCGAGGAGGAGGUAGCUCAGGAACAGAACUCCAUCAGUUGUUCAGAAGAGGCUGAAUCUUUAGUCAUUAGUCUCCUUGUACUUGGAUUGUUGACUCUUGAAAAUAAGAGUGAGAUAAAGUAACCUAGUUAAUAUAUCCUUAAUUGAGUAGUCUACUCGUCAGUGGUUUCAAUAUUAAUAGUCUUGUAUGAAAUGAAAAUAGUCUUAUAUUUUCUCUUUUGAUAGACAAAUGCAAGAGCAGUACUUACAGCAGGUUGCAGCUCGCUAUGAUGAAUUCAAUGGUCAAAGCUCUGCAAUGCCUCUAAAUACUGCUACUGAUGAUCUAGGAAAAAUACUCACGUUACUAAACAUCUGCUUUUAGAUUUUAUUGAAUCCAUAGAUAAGUCUUCAAAAUCCCUGCAUCUUCGGAUUUUGAUACUGCCAUAAGGAGUGAUUUACUUCAAAUGUUGCAAGGCUUCCAGAGCCAAAGUCUUCUUUUUACUUUCACAUCCAGAAGAAGAACAUCUCAAAAUGUUUAAAUAUUUUAGAUAGUUCUUGAACCACUGAAGGGUAUCAUGCUUGGGCCUACCUGUAUUGUUAAGACAAAAAAUAACUUGGGAGAGCAUUGGUGAGCUAGCUUAGCUACUUUGCUAGCCACAACACCAUAAAACUCAGCCCAAACCAGCUUCUGCCUGAAUUGUCACUCUGUGUUGCAGCCCACGCUGGAUGCAUAGAUACAGUGCUAGCUUCAGCCAGUCAUUAAAGCUGAUUCAGUCAUGCUGCUGCUGUAACCAGGAUGCCUUUAGAUUCUCCAUCUUUCUCCUGCUUCCAGGCAAACACACUGGAGUACUCAAUGAGUCAAACCUCAGUGACCACCUAAAGAAGAGUAAGGGUAAAUACACACAGAGCUGUUCUGAAGAUGGUGAGAACAGGGAACCUCUAAAGCUUUCUGGUGCUCUCUUUUCCUUAGGAAAAGUCUUUACUGCCUUCCUUCCAAAAUCUUGACUACUGAACUAUUUUUCUUUCCACCAAAGCCUACUUUUUCCAUCAACACUGGGAGAGAUACUAUUACUUUCUUCCUUCUCACAUUUUUUUAAAGGAGAGAUUGUUACUCUGCGUAUUUUCCUCUGGUGAGGCAAUCCCAGCACUGAUCUCAGCAUCUCUCAACAGCCUUUCAGGAGGGCAUAGCACAUCCGAAUCAUCUCAUCACUUCAUCUGGAAUCAAUCACUGUAGGUCCACCAAUGUCAAGAAAACUAUGCUCAUUUGCAUCAGCAUGUGACCUGGUUCUAUCUUUCUAUGAUCUUUAGAUCAGCAGUGUUUCCAUUGGGAUUCAUGGUCUCAGAGGAGUCUUCAUCUACUUUCUAACACAUUGAAAGUGUGUCUGCCAUUUUUCUUUCCAAUCAUAGAACACAUUGUACCUACUAACUCAAAUCUGCCACACAUCAAAUUCUCUUAACAUGGUUUUGGUACAGUUUUCUUACUAUUGUAUGUGUAUUCAGACUUUGCAAACUGUAUAAAUGACAUUAUACUUAGUAAACCAGUUAACUUUGUAGAUGUGAAGUACUUAAUUUCCAGGAUUUUGAAACGACUCUAAAAUACUUAACAUUUUCAAGUGUGACCCAAUAGACUUUUCACCUUGUUUUUCUUCAAAUCAGCUUGAAAAUUCUGGCUUGUAAUAUUGCCAGAUAAAAAUUCUAUGACACAAUGGCUUGCAUUUUUUUUCCAAGCUCUAUGUCCUGGGUUCAAACAGCACUGUAAGUACUUCAACUCUUCUCAGAAGAGAAGGCAGGAAGAAAUGGAGAUCCUUUAGGUAUAAGCAUCCAAAUUUGAUAUGCUACUCACAGAUUCAAUUUUUAGACAAUUUUUUUUUUUUUGGGGGGGGGGGGGGGGGAAGUAAGUCUGAUCUAUUUCUGAGUAUCUUUAAAUAGCAAAACAACCCCAGGUGUACAGAUCUCACUGAAGUUAUCAGAAAGAUUUUUAGAAAAACAAGUAGUUUUCACUAUAAAAAAAGUUACUACAUCUUCUGGAGAAUAUGUAAGUGGAAAGAAUGGGCGAAUCCUCAUUUUUGAAAAAGGAACAUGACAAAUGAUGAGGUAUUAUACACUGGAGACAGCAGUCUGAAAUCACUUACAACUGGAAUAUACUUAUAAUACUGUAAACCAGUAAUCACAAAUGAGUAUGGAGCUUAGCAGUCUGGUUAAGAAAAGUCAUUUACCUGCUCCUCUUUUGUACAGUGUCCAACACCCUCACUGCAGCUCCUGGGUGCUCCUGUUGACAGCUGUGGGAUAGCCCAUCCUAGAGCACAGAGUUACACAGCAGAGCAGCAUGUGGAUUUACAGUGACUAAUUAUUUGAAUACGAAUCAACAAUGCAACACUGUGGCAAAACAAGGCAAAUGCUCUGUAUUGAGUCACAUUAAUAAGAAUGUCACGCAUAAAAGAAAUGAAGUAAUUAUUCUGCUCUACUUCACUUGAUAAGCCUCAGUUGGAGCACUGCAUGCUGUUACAAACACCACAGUAAAAAAAGAAAUACAUACUAAUUGAAGAACUCAGAAGAGAACAACAAAAAUGAGCAAUGAUUUGGAAAAUAAUCCUUGUGCGUAUGACUGUUCAUAAACACAUGAAGUGUUAUUAAAAAGGAGCAAUUAUUCUUAUUAUCUUAAUUCUAUACUAAUAUAAAAGAUUCAGCAUGGGAGAAAUUGAAGUGCAUAAUGCCAGGAAUAACAUAAGUCAUAGACUGAAGUGCAGUGUAGAAACAAUACUUUCAGAGCAAGAGGUUGAUGAACCACUUGGCAUCACCAUCUGUGGAAGUGGUCCAGACAAGUCUGGACAGUAAAACAGACAAUUUUUUUUUUCCUUCCCCAACUGUUCCUGAAGUUUCCAAAUUUGUCUUCAUUUCCAAUCAGAAAAUAUCUAAAUUCUUUGUAAAGGAAAAUGGCAGGAAUACUGCACACUGACUCGAGUUUUAAGUGCAACAUAAUGUGUUUGCAAUGUAAUCAUCUAUUACAUACUAGAGUUCAAAAUAUUCAAAAUGAAAAAUAAUUUGAAAAGGAAAAAAAUCAAAAUAUUUUAUUCUAAUGGUGACAAAAUGGGACAUAUAUCAAAUGUGAAACAUGAACAUCUUUUCAAACAUGAAAAGAUGCAAAGAGAAAUCAAACAAAAUCAACAUGAUUUCAUUUGAAUUGCACAUUAAAGCUGAACAUGAUUUUAUUUCUUAUUCACUGUUACUAUUAUUACGAUUUUCUUUUUAUACAAACUUUGAGUCACACAUUCAGCGAAAAAUAUUUAGGAAAGGUACACCUCAUAUUCAGACUUAGAAAGCUACAGAACAACAAAGGAAACAAAAAGCUCUCUAAGUGCUGCUCCUGAAAUGGGAAGGUACUUGGGAGAAGGUACUUUCUAGCCCUUUCAGUUUUUAAGGGUUACUGUCUAGUGCAUGCAAAAAACCUGAGAAAGUAUGCAGAUGUAGAAUUUGUGCAGUGCUAUUGAUCAAACAAGAGUGAUUUAACAUAAGACAGUGUUAGUUUUCAGAAGUAAAACUUUCCAAUUUAAAAAUCUUUGUGACUUCCUAGAUUUGUUACAACAUUUUUUUUUUUUCCAAAUAUCCACUGUAUGCUACUUGAAUAAGCAAAAAAGGGUACAAUACAUCUGUAUAAUACAUAUACUCUGUGUGGUUUUUUGCCCCUCACAUUUAUGCUGGUUCUUCUUGUGUUCAGAUUGCUAUAUUAGCAAAUUGCCCGUCAGCUCUCCAAGCAUGGCACUCAGCCUUUGCAGCCUUGGGGAUAUCAGUAACACAAAGAUUGCCCCUUGCAAGCUGCAAUGACCUGCGCCCUACAGCUCUAUCUAUCACAUAAAAAUGUACUGCUCCACUACUGUCACUUUUCACAGCUCAAUCUCAAUAUCUCUUUUCAGGUUUCCUGCUGACUGACAAUGUCAGUUACAACAUUUCACACAAUUUUUCUUUUCUAUGUGUGAAAUUGCAUAUCCAAGAACUGUGAAAAGAGAAUCAGCAGGUUUCCAGUACUGUUCCUUGGUGAGGAUGGACAGUUAACCAUCACCUAGGAAAGCAAGACCAGGCAACUGCCCCAAGAAAAAAUAAAAGUGUUCUAUGAAUACUUGCUCAUGAUUUUAAACUCUUCUGCUAUGAUUCUGUUCAAACUAUUUGUGUUCUCAGAAAAGCCAGCUCAUAAAAUCUGCUUAUGUUAAGCAAAUUUUGAAAGAUAUUAUCAGAGAUCGUUUCCUAAAUUUCUAACUUGAAGGACUUUUUAUCAGAAAGAUUAUCCUGAGAAUUGCUCUUACCUAGUCAAUUUUAAUUUUGGAUCACUAGCAGUGGAUUACUUACAGACAACCUACUGACAGAGAGUUGCCUCAUAUUUUUGCAGAAAUACCUAAGAAAAUAAGUCAGGUUUGUAAAUAACUCACAGAAUAAAGGAGGAAUGUAUUUAUAGACAACUAUUUCCUCAUUUCUUCUGGAAAACUGGCAGUCAACUGGUCCUGGAAUGACUAGGCAUAAGCAGAGUCCAUGAGGUUACGCCCUUUGUGCCAAAGCUCCAUCCCAGCAAAAACAGCUAAAGGAGAUUACACAUCAGCUGAGACAUACAGGCCAAACAUACAUUUUCUCCCAUACUUCCCCUUUACAAAACUAAACAACCAAAAAAACCCCACAAAAUAAAUAAACAACAAAAAAGAAAAGAAAAUCAAUGAGCAAAUCCAAUUUACAGCCGAGUAGAAAUGAAGCAAGGAGUCACUCAAAAAACCCUUUUCAGCUCACGGAGCAAUCAAUGACUGUCUUUGUCAGAAAGCAAGGUUUAUUUUUAGGUGUGCUUAAAAAGUAGCUGUUCACCUCUGCUCAUGAAUAUGGGCAGUAUCAUGAUGAGUAUUUUCUAACUCUGGGCCACCUCUCCAAGUUACAACCCUGCCAUUCAGAAUGGGAUGCAAAUAGGUUUUUCUCUCAGCUGUGAGGGCAUUCUCUUAGCAACUACCCCAAAUACAGAGAAAUACCAAGAAGGUAUCUUGAAUGUUCUUUUUGCUCCCAUUAAUACCAUCAAACAAUUGGAAAACAAUUGGACAAGAGGCAACUUCUUAACGAUGGCAAGCACUUGUUUGGGAACACACCUUCUGAAGAAACAAAACAUUAGUUUACAAAUUACAGUGGAAAUGGGAUGUGUCCCAGUGAAAUCCAAUCCCUGCAAUAUCAAAUAAGAAAGACCACUGAAAAAGAUAAAGUCACAUGGUUAAACUUUCUCCCAUCCUUUAAAAUAAUUUUGAAAUAACAUAUCACUAUUACUGGAAAAUUGAUUUUGUAAAACCAUUAAAAUUGUGUUUCUUGCUAGUGUUUGUUCUGAUUAAACUCUAUCCCCUCCCCCUUUUUCCUAAUCUCUUAGCAGUCCUUUCUGGUUGUCAUAACUAGUCAGUAUACCAAAGUUUUAAUCACUAAAUUAUGGUUUACUUUGCAUCAAAUUUCAGGUAGCAUUUAAAUUUAAUUAGGAGAAGUUAGAUAUGUAACAUAUAGCUUCCCUAAGCAACUCUUAGCAUAUGGGACCAAGACUCAUUCACCAGAUAAAAAUAGGUCUUGCUGUCAUUGGCAAGAGUCUGAGGGCUAUAUGUUUACAUGGAUAAACUGCUUUUUUAUAUUUUCUUCAUGUCACCAACAUGAACCAUCUCUCCAAUAUUAGACAAAAGAAAAUCCUCACUGAUUCUAUGCAGUCUUCAGCAAAAUAUGACAAUUAUGGAUUUAACAUAUCAUGCACUUGUAACAAUUUACAUCCAAAUAUUACAAAGUGGAUAAAAGGGUUUUAAUGUUAAUUCAAUAUUUUUUACAUGCUAAGAAACACAUUCAGUAAUAAAUUCAUACUGUACUGAGCUUUUUUCUUUUUUUCUUUCCCCUGUAGAUAACUAAGUAGUAGAGUAGAGCUGCAGGAAGAUGGUUCCACUCACUAACUACGCAUAGGGAGUACAUGAGUUAUGUAAAUGCCCAUAAGUAGAACUUCAGUACCUCUCCAAAAAAAAAAAAGAUGUUUUUUAUCUCCUAGAGACUGCUCCUGUUAUAGACUACCUGGCAUAUUGUGGUGGUAGUUUUCUGUGAUAAGUUCCUUCACUCCAAGAUUUGGACGUCCAAGUUUUAGCCAAGACUUGUAUCUAAAAGUCAGUCCAAAAAUAAAAGGUGCGUCUUAGUCCUACUCUUUGGCACAUCCUGAUGACUGAUACAUUUUCCUUUUGCCCUUUGAGCACAAUGAGACUAUUGUAAGCUUUGAUUUUGUAUUAUUCAUCUUUAUACAUGGGUGUCCAGCAUUAAAGGGUCAUUCUGAAGAACUGCCAACAUUUCAUCUUUUGAAUGUAAGAUCUUGCUUGCAUACUACCUUGUUUCCAUGCUCUGAAGGAUCAAACUACUUGGCAAAGUAGCAAAUUUGAUUUGCAUUAGGAAGGGAUAUUAGGCAUAUAGGAUUUCACAGUUCAUUUUAUACCCUAAUCAUCAGAAGCCCCUGUUUAGGGUCUGAACCAGAGGGAUUUACUGCCCUCAAAAAAAAAAGUCAGUGUAUCCAAUAUCAAAAUAUUUCAGAAUGUUCAUUUUUCAUCUUUCCAAAGUCAGUUAAUGAAAGGUGCAAUUCUAGCGAACAGCCUUUGGUCACAAACCUCUCUAAGCCCUCUUUAGUUUCAUUAGGAGUGAAUUAAUGUAAUGUUAGAUGGUGACAUUUCAGGGUCACUGCACUCCUAUACAUUGCAAUAGAAUGGAUACCCAUUAAAAAUAUUAUCAGACUAAUCCUGCAAAGGGUGAAUCAGAAGCUCAGGAUGCUCAGUACUCCUUAGGGAUUACAGAUUUCUACACAGAUCUCUAAUGACCCAGCUCUGCUAUUCUGGUGCUGAUGCUAACCUUGCUGCUGUGACAGCUCCUUGUUCCUGGUUCUCAGGGAGCUUCGCAAGAAGAUACCAUACCUUCAGGGAGGCAUUGGAACCACCCUCAUUUCUACUGAAGAGGAAAAGAUUACAGAUGGAAAAAAUAAAGUUAUUCAAAUGAUGUGAGGGAAUGUCCUCUCUCUCCUUUUGCUGAGUGACUUCAGAAAAGAAGUGGACUGUGAGCUCUGUAGACAGAACUGCUGGCAUUUUUUCUGAUAGUUACAAAAAGCCAGGGAAAUAACAAGUAAAGAGUUUCUUGGAUGAGAUUAGCCUGCCACGAUAACAGUGUUUAUUUUACUGACCUAAAUCAUAAUUCUCACCCCUUUCUCUACAGCUAUUGGCAUCUCUAUCUUUGUUAAUGCUAUGCCAAAGUCAAACAGCUUGAACAUUGCUAGUUUUUGCAACUGAGUGUGCCUAAGCCAGAGAUACUGCACCACUGGCAGACCAUAAUUCAGUCUUCUGCUGCAACGCACACAACUCUUGGCUCAGUGAGUGCCGCAGAUGUUAAGAUGGUGCAAAGAAUGACACUUGUAUGUCUCCUGGCAUGUUCUUCUGCUCACAUUAGCGAGAUGUGGAGCCUGCUCACUCCUCAGAGCCCUUGAAAAUCCCACUGAAGGAUGUGUAGAAGUCAGUGGACAACACACUGUUUUCAUAAAGAAAAUGCAAGUGCUCCAACCAUAUGUGCUGAUGCUCUGCUCACUUGUGGACCAUCUAGGAGCAGGAUCCAGUGUUUCAGGGUGCUCACAUUCUGACUCCUACCACUGGCUUCUUGCAUGUUUCUGGUGUUCAGACCUCUGUCUGUGAGGGUAAACUUUAAGCCUGAUGACCAGUUUCCUCUCAGUGCACAAAUGCAGCAAAGAGGAUCUGCGAGUUGGAUGCUGACCUGAAAGUAAAGCACAGUCACAGGCAACUGUUUUUGCUAGUCAGUUUUUCUGCCUGUGUUAAUUCUCAUCUGAACACUGAGGACUGUGACUGGGAAGUGAACAUGAGCAUCAGAUCUAAGUGUCACUCUUAAUGGAAUCCUAACUCGGAAGGAAUCAACUGGGAUGUAACUAAUACCCAUAUGUUGGCACAUACCUCAGGAAAAUUAUCUGCAUUUUAAUUGUAAUAAGCAGGAUUUGUGCUUUAAAGUGACAAAAUAAUAAAGUUUGAUUGUUAUGACUCACUCAGUUGUUAAAUAACAAUCAAGUUGCCAAUAAUUUCACCCAUAUAUAAGUCCUGACAGUCAUUUAAAUAGGAUGUGAUAGUAUGAAUACCAGAUAAAUAUGUUUUACAUGGCAACCCACUGAAGUUCUAUUUUUAUGGUUUUUUUAAAUACUUUGUUCCAAGGUACAUGGUAUAGUAGAAAAUGUUUCUCUGCUUAUUAUAUAUAAUUUUGAUAGUUUUCAGAUAGUUUUCUAUAUCUUUAGUACAGUUUAAGUCUCUAAACUUCACUAGACAUUUUGGUGUGUAUGUAUGAGCAGAUCAAGUGAAAUGAAACUAUGAAUUCCAAACAAACUCAUCUACCAGUUUUCAAAUUAUGCCUAUGCUGGAAGCUAUUGUCCCUUGGACCUGUAGUAUCUAUAAUUCCCAUUAAAAAAAAUUACACAGCCUGUUUCAAGGCUUAUUUCAGCACAGAAAUCCAAAGUCACUGCUAAGAAACCAUGAGCUCACAGUUCUAUACCACUAGUUAGAUUGGGGCUGCUAUAGAAAAAAAAAGUUAGAUCCCCAGGUCUGAUUCUCUACUCUUAGGAGUAUACAAGUUUUAGAAAAGCUCUGUUCAAGCAGUGCAUUAUCCAUUAUAGUCAUUUCAUACAGGAGAGUUUAUACAGAACUGGUACCCCUACAGCUUCAAACAUAUCCAAAACAGAAAACUUUCAUCUUUUGUUGUUGUUUUGCAGGUGCUCAGUUGGAUAUGCCGUGUUCUUACAACUGCUUAAUUGCAAUUUGGCAGUAGUUUCUAAGCAAUAAUUCUAAACAAUUCGCAAAUUUAAUAUUUUUGUGUAUCAAAAAACUGCUCUCAGUGAAGCACACUCAAAGAACAUGCAUAUUGACUGCUUAGGGCUAAAAUUAAUAAUCACUACUUAUUUAUGCUAACAGUAAUACGUUAUCACUGUGGUUUUGCUUAGACUAGUUUGUGUGAUGUCUGCUCUAUAUCAUGUUAUACAAACAUUCUUUCCCACAAUAUCAUAGUCAUAAAUUUAGUAUAAGAAUAGUGUAAGAGAAGAUAAAACACACUAUUCUUUUGAUUUUGAUUAGUAUGUUUGUUAGGAAAACAUUCAUCCAUUUAAGGUAGUAAAGGAACUCUUUACCUCAAGUACUUCAUAGGCUCACCUCCAAAGUCCUGGAAAUCUGAGAAUAGUGUGGGUUAAUUCAGGAAACAGUGCAUGAGGUACAUACAUACACAGAUUGCAUAUAUACAGCGUGUGAAACAGCCCACAGAGGCUCAGGCAUUAUUUGUUAACAGACACCAACCAUUGGCUUACAGGCCAGGACAGUGAAUAGACUUCUGUGUAAACUGCAAGUAGAGAACUACCACAUGCUCACGUUCAGUCCUUGCAAGUUACAUGUUUCAAGGCUAGCUUCUGCCAGUGAACCUACAUAUUGACUGAGUAGGGAGGAGCUCCUGCCAAAAAAUAACUGGUCCUUGGGCAUCUUGUCGGCUAAGGGCCAGUCCUCAAAUGCAAUUUGGGUGUAUAAUUUUUCUGGGAAAAAAAGAGCUCUUAUCUGUACAGAUGUGUUGACCAGCUACACAUAUAGAAAAUAUCUGGUUUACUUUUUAAUUUAGGCAAAGCCAUUGAUGGUUUUCAAUUGGCUGAGUCACAGCACCAUAAAGGUUAGCCAACUUGACGUCAAAACCAGUGGUCCCUCACCUCCCAGCUGUAGCUGAGCAGGUUGGCCAAUGGCUGUGCCAUCCACCAAAAACCCUUCCUAGGGUCUCCAGGAGCUGAGCUGUGGAGAAAGGAGUUACUAGGAGGAAGAGUUUGUGUUGAAAUUAUAUUAUAUAUACAUAUAUAUACACACACACACACGUAUAGAUAUAUAUGUACACACACACCACACACCUAUAAGUACAUGCACACUUUUAUAAUCUAUAUACACAUAUAUAAUUGUAUUUACAGGAAGCUGAAAGUUCCAAAGCAGAGUUAAAGAGUUAGAUAACACCAAGCAAACAGCUUGAGCCAAGACAUCUGAGCUUACCUUUGGUUUCUAAGACUCCUACGAGUGUUGUUAAUUCAGCAAUUCACAUAUUGCUACUGGACUAUUCCAUUUUACUGAAAUCAAGUGAUAAGGGUUUUGAAAGCCCAUGUCUUUGGAAAGGAAUAUGGCUACUGCAGCAGCCUGAUGAAGACAGAACAUGCACAAGGGAAAACUUCAUACAGCACUCUCCAUGUGGCUUCACUGAGCCACACUUACUGUACACUGUUUCCUCAGAAAGCCCUUCAAAAACAUUUCAGGUAUACUUAUAGGAUAAAUGCACAGCUAGGUCUGUGGCAGAAGACUAAAGUUUAAGAUACCAUAAAUGACUGCUUCCUGGAACAAAUGGCAGGCUAAUCCAUAAGGGGGAGAAGCAAUUUUUUUUUUUUUAUUUAGACCUAAAUGAUGCAUGGGACCUGCUUCAAAAUGAACAUUCACUCUUCAAGACUGACCAUAAAGCACUUAAAAUCUACAUUCCUAUAGGAGUGAGAAGCCAAAAUUGUAACUUCAGAAAGGGGAAGUACAUAAAAAUGAGAAAUCUUGUUAAAACGGAAUUUAAAAGAAGCAACCCAAAAAAAUAAAAAUUGCAGAUAUAAUGUAUGUACAUGUUAUUAAAGUCUCAGAAUAAUCAUAUAUUAUGUAUCCAAAAGAAAUCCCUCAGAAACCAAGAAUUAAAGGACCACACAAAAAAGGCAGCAUGACUAUAUGAUACAGUAAAGACAGCUAAUUGGGGUAAAAAGAAAUCCCUCAAACAGCGGAGCUUAUGUGGAACAAUGAGGAAAAUAGAAAAGAUCAUAAACUUCAGCAUUUCAAAUGGUAACUCAUAUUACAGCAGGCCAAAAAGAUCAUAAGGAACAACACACCACAGACAUAAAAAAGUAGUAAUAAAAUCUUUCUUUUCCAAACACGCUAGUGUUAGAUACAGAAGUUCUGCCAGAGAAUUUGUAGGGUUGAUCGUCAUGGUACACCAUAAGACUGCUUAUGAAAGACAAAUACUAAGUUAUGUGCAUGGGGGAAGGAACCCUAACUGCUCUCACUUAGUUCUGAUUUCUAGAUCAGCUACUACUGCUCAAGAAGAUCUAGUAGCUCUUAUGGCUAGUUCAAUGAAAGUGUCAGCUGAGUACUCAACAGCAGUAGAGAAAUGAGGAGAAUCUUUGCAGUUAUAAAUAAAGGAAUAGAAAACAAAGUGGAAAAUGCUUAUGCAAGUCCAUGAAAAAGCUUAAACCUUCAGUCUUAAUUACCAUGCAUUGUCAGGGUGUAGGAGGCUGUCAAUGUGAGCAUAAGGUUCAAGAUCCUUUUGCUCAUUUCAUCUUAUUACAGAAGGACCGUAUAUAUCACAGCUAUACUUAAAUAAUGAAUGUGCAGCACACAGUGAACCCGCAGAACAUGUUGCCCCAGGAUACUGUGAAACUGAGAGCACAUCUCAGGGCACAGCCUAGAUUUUGUUUGUUUAGGAAUAUUUUUUGCUGCUUGUGCAACAGAAGUUAUUAAAUAAUUUCUCACAGCUCAGGUACUUUGAAUACAUGUCUGCAUUAAUGUUUUUGCUGGUAAAGUGAAAAAUGUUGAUGGUGUGAGACUUGAAUCCCAGAAUACCCUCUUGCCUAGUAGUUAAGAAACCUCUCUGCAACACAGAUUCACAGUACCAGAGAAUAGAUCUGAAUUCUCAGUCCACUGUUUUUCAGGUGAAAUAACUGUACAGUUUUAGCAUGAAUGUAUUAAGAUACCUAUUUGAAAAUAUCCUUCAAGUAGGAGUAACCUGUAUUUGGUAUUACAAGUACUAAAGAUGCUUAGGGAUGACAGAAGUACCAAACAUUUUUGUGCCAUCAAGACCUGUACCAUUCCUGGCCAUUCUCAUGGUAGAGGAGGACUCAUUGCAGAGGCAACUGUAGAUUCCCAAGUACUGAGAACUUAGGCACCCAGAAUGGCAAUAGGGUCCCAAGGCUGUUUCAUUUAUGCAUUACCUACUCACCUGGUUCUAGUAGUUUCAGUAAUGAUAUUGUCUGUAAAACCAUCACAUUUGUGCAAUUGGGCCUGGCAGAAGCCAACUUUUAGGACACUCCUUGUAAAGCUGAUUGUUUUCAUAAUGGCUUUCUUAUCUCAUGCAUCUUGAAAAAUUUCCUCCCCAUCUGGACCUUCAUCUUCUUUAAAGUUUUUUUUUUUUGACUGUAUCCAAAAGAAGCUACAGAAGAACUAAACUACCAGUAGGAGACAGGUUUUUUUUGGGCAGAAGAUUCAAAGGAAUGACUGUGACACCAGGAAGUCCUGUACACCUCUUCAACUCCUCUUCCAAGCACAAAAACCCAAAACAACAAACAACCAACACCAACCUUGUUUCUCCCCUAAACAUAUAAUAAAAUUUGAAGUCUCUUUCUGCAAAUCUGUGUACAGCUUACUAGGGAGAACAAGAAGGUAAGAACCACAAGACAUUGGCUUAAUACACUACUAUACUAUAGCUAUAUAUAUAGCAUUCUUAUCCUACUAAUGAAAGGUAUAUCAAAAGAGACAGAAGAUACCAGUUUUUACACUAGCAUUUUUGCCUUUGAAAAAAGACCAAAAACAAAUUAGGGAGUUCAGAUGAAGAGGUCUUUUUACGGCCCAUGCCUUAUACCUCCUUCCAAAAGAAAGAAUUUCUUUUGCUUCCAAAAACUGACCUUUGGGAUAAUUCCUCAUUGCAAGUUGCAGUUUCACUUCCUCAUUUUUCUUGACCAUGAGUCUGCCAACAGUAUUACCACCUCUGAGAUACUGAAGUCUUUGGCACAACGAGGUGGCUGUUGUAUAAAUCUACUAUAAUUGGUCAGAAUCUCAGAUGGUAUGAGUUGCUAUAGCUCCAUCAGAGCUUUGCCAAUUUAUACUAGCAAAGAAUAUGGGUAUGUUGCUCUAGCUGCCAGAAUUCAUACUUAGUUCAUAAAAAAAAAAUUAAGUUCCCACUAAAAUCCCUCAGGUGGAUUCUGCUGGACCAGCAGAAGCCCCCUUACUCUGCUCCAAAAUCUAAUUGCCAUCUGGAAUCAGUACCAAAUACACAAAAAUGUUAUACUGCAACAUUGACAAAGCCACCACUGCUUGGGUUUGAUUCACCACUGUUACCCGACGUCUGCAUAACUUCAAAGAAUUGAAUGGAGUUCCCUGCACUGAAUUCAGUACCCUUCUUGCCUAAUCAUUUUGUUACAACUACAUUUCAUUUUUUUUCUCCUAAGCACUUGUUUUCUAUAUCUUGAAGGAAGAAAGUACAAUAAAUGAAAAAAAAAAAAAAAAGAACAUUCUUUCCUCCUACAACUGUAAUCACCAUUUCCACCCUCCAUUUACAAAGCUAACAUAAAAGCUACCUGCUUUGCAUUUCUGACCUCCUGUGCACAUCUCACUGGUUUCUGUCAUGCUCCAGCCAUCCUCACUCAGAGUUUUUAGGUUCUUCUUAUGAGCUAUUAUUUUCAUGAAUUCAUAUUUAAGUUCUUUUUUUUUUUCAUUUCUCUCUGAUUCCCACAUUUUGCUUUGUGUGGAACAUAAGAAACAUUGCUAAAGGAAAAGAAUAUUAGGGAGAGUCUUAGCUUUACUUAUGAAUUAGGACAGGCCAGAAAAUUUUACCCAGCCUUCAUUUUGGCAGUUCUCUGAAAAGGUACCACCCAUAUGCUUAUGUAAGGAUAGGCAACAGCAGAUAUAGCUGCUUUAGAUAAGUUUUAAAUCAUCCAAGAAAGGUAAAGGUCACAAACUGAUGGUAAAGAAGAAAACACUUACCCCUUUCCAAGGACCAGAGCUCAACAAACACUACUAAGGAGGUAAUCUCUAGAUAGAGAUGCUUUUCUUGUGGCUGCCAGCCCUUAUAUUAGGUAAGGGUCCGCCCCUCCUAGUCACACAGGUGAAUUGCUUCCACCUGUGCUCCUAGGGCUAGCUAUGCCCCUUCACGAGGUGCUCAAUAACUGCUUCAGGCCAUGACCUAAUGGUUCCCAUAGAGCUUGUCUAAGGAAGACACCCGGACUUUAAAGAUUCCAAUGCGGAAUUUGUUCUUGGUAAACAAUUUAAGCUGUUUUGUUAACCUGAUGAUACAAAACGUAAAUAGGACAAAUAGAUACUAGUGUGAAACAUCUGUACUGUUCAUCCUUAGACACUAUGUGGUGCUAAAUAUUUUUUUAAGUUACGGAUUAAGACAAGGAGAUUUUGAAAGCAUAAAGGGAAAAUGUAGUUCUGGUAGAGAUGUCAUCACACUCAACAGAGAGCAGGCUCAGACACACUGUCAACCUUUUUUAUCAUUCAAGUGCAUCAUUGUUUUGUUGCAGAAAGAGAAUAAAACUGGUGACUGACAGCGUUGAGCUGCAGUUAACACAAGAAUGUUAUUUCUUUAAGUCUGUGUGUAUCCAAUGUGAGACAUGCAUCACCUGGAAAAUCACAGCUCCAAAGUCCAUCUGAGAGGUCUGAUCCAUUACACAACAAUUUUGCACCAAGUUCAUUAGCUGAGGCUCAUGUAAAUUCUAGCAAGGCCCUGACACUACUAGAGCUAACAAACAAAUUCAUUCUGUCCCUUCAGGCUACUAUGUAUGACAGCUAGAAGCUUCCAUAUCCACAGAUGUGAAUUCCCACAGCACAGGAGACACUAAGAGCAGAGCCAUGACAGAAUGUACUCCACCAGGUCUCAUUUUGUCCUGCCAUGGAAGCACUGGCAACAGGAGGAAUGUGAGGAGAGAGAAGCAAGAAUGCAACCACUCAAAACACAGUUACGUCUUGACUUCAGCCAUAUUACUCCAAGUGGCCACUGCUCAGAAACUUAGCUGAUUGAUUGCAAUGCCAUUCCAAAAAGUCAUAAGUGAAAUGAAACUACUUCUUGAUGAACCAGUGUCUUUCAAAUAAUAUCUUGCUGACUUAUUUAAGAGUCGGUAAUUCCAGCAGAGCCUCCUACUCAGCAAACUAAAUCAAGAAAUUGUAACAGUCUCUUAGAUCCAAUCUAACUUUGGUUACACAUGUUUUUUCUUCCACUGUAAUUUUUUAAUGUAUAUUUUAAGAAGAUAUUUUGUAUACUGUUUACUUCCAAGUUAUUAAUAUGAAUACAGUAUAAUCCCGACUGCCCUAAAACCAUGAGAAUAACAUAGAACAUAUCCACAGAAAUGUUAAAGAAAUAUGCUUUCUACUUGGGUGCUUUAUUUGGGUUUUAUUUGCACAUAUUCAGUAUAAUUAUAGUUUAAGUGGGCUAUUUUCCAUACCCACAUAGUCAAUGCUUUCCACAUAAAGGUUCACAUUGGCUUUAGACGCACCCACAAGCUAUUUACUUGCAUGGUAUACAUAUAAUGAUCAAGCUUGUAUCUACUUCAGCCAAAUCUAAAUGUUUUCACUUGUGCCUCUUUUGCAAACCAUUUUCUCCUGAAUAAGUUGUUUCAAGCUUAUACUAUCACUUUUAUGAAUUUUAUGAUGCAAUAGAUUUCCUCUUUUGCCCAGAUAUUGACUGCAGACUCAAAUUAAGAUACAUAUUUCAAGCACUCCAAAUGUUAGAAAAGUUUACAGCAAGGUUUUAUUUUGGUUGUUUUCCCAAGUAUGGGAUGAAUAUGGACUUCACUUUCAAUUCUUUUUUUCUUUUUUCCUUAUCAUUCCAAAGUUCAGCAGAAUUUGAGUAAAACUUUUGCGUUUAGUCGGUUCAUCUAUUGGACAUCAGCAUCUUAAUUGCCAGCGAGGGUUUGAAACAGAUCUUCAAAUAUGAGAAUAGGAAAAAUAUUAAACAGUACAAGCCAGAAACUCAUUUCCCACUUACUUUUGGGUUUCUCCCACUGAAGACUUUCUCAAGCUAUUUCUAACGGAACUAUUGUAAACAUGCUCUUCUGCCUAGAUUUUCAGAUGGAAAAUAUGAUGACACUGUAAACUGCAAAACAGCAUAGUUGAGUGAGGACACCUCUGUAAUGGACAGAUUCCCAAAGAAAUGUCAUCUGCACAUAUGCCCUACCAUCUUAGAGAAAUGUCCUCCCAGGCUUGAGAAACGUUUUGGUUUGGAAUCAACCCCCCGAUGUUAUGGCCAUCUUCAAAGUGGAGCAACAGAGUAAAAUGAGCAUUUUCUCAGAGGAACACAUAAGAUCAGGAAGUUUUUCUACAUAGAGAUAUUCCCAAACAACAUGAAAAUCUUCAAAGAGGAAACACUGUGUGAUAUGAACUCCAGAGAAAAAGGAGGCGACAUACACGUACAUACACACAAUAUGAAAGCUUUCAGGGAAAACAUGCUGUCCUUAGUAAUGUGAAGGGGUUUGUUUUGAAGAAGUCACCCCCUGCUGAGGCAGUAAGUAUACACGUAUGAUUACUGAGAUGUCUAAUUAAAUUCUCCUUAUCUGAAUGCCAUCUGAACUUAACAAAGCAGAUAAUAAGUUCCAGAAACAGAUACCAUGUGGGGGGCCAAAUAAUUUUGCUUCCAAAAAUUGGAGCUUGAAAUUAGAGAUGUGUAGGUAAUAGAGAACAUGAUUUUGCUCUACUCCCACUGUCUGCACCUGAACUGUUCUUUCCAUCAGAAAAAAUCGUGGAGCUAAAGUGAAGCUAAAUGCUUGCAGGAUCAACUCCAAUUCCAUGGAAAGACCGUAAGCUACCUUCUAACUCGACUUAAAUAAGUGGAUUUCCUCCAGAUUUAUACAAAGACAAGUGGGAGUAAUAUUACAUUCUUGCACUGAUUAAACAUCAACUGCAAAGAAUCAGAAUAUGACUGAAUUUUGAUUACUUUUCAGAAAUGUAUCUAGGUUGCAAAUUAACUGAAUCAUAUAUGAAGAUGGUCCUGAGAUGUUUCUGCAUGGAGUUAACUUGUCUAUGGAAAAGCUGUUCACAGGGGAACAACAUGGCACAGGUGCCCCAGAAAUACAACCUCCUCCGUAUAGUCUGAAGACUGAGUUGUUUAAUCCUGGAGCCUCAAAGGAACUCUGUGUAGAAGUCAUCAGGUCUUCCACACUCAGCACUGCUGAAUUUUGGAGGUCUGGAGAACGUUGUACUUCCUAUGUUUCCAAAUAAGUUAACUGAAUCAUCAGUUCAAGACACAUCACAGCAUAUGAGGUGUGAUCACCUAAACAAAUUCACAGGACCUUUUAGAAAGGAAAUUAUUUUAGAAAGGAAAAGUAGAAAUUAUCUUCUGCCUGAUUCAACAUGAAAUUCAGUUUUGGGAAUCUUUGAGUUGGUUUGGUAAAUGGAAUGUAAAAAUGGGGACCAGAUGUCAGCUUAUCUAUUAGCCUGAAAUGUUAGAACUGGAGAUGAGUUUUGGGAGGACAUUUCCUGGAGGCAAGAGCAGCCCAUGGUAGCAUCAGGGCUAUAAGGGCUGGUUGAGCCCAUGCAGAUAAGCAGUCCCUUGACCCAGACAUACACUUCCUAUUACUGCGACAACUUGUCCCAUGUAAUCUUAACAGUGCUGACUUCAUACCAGCAUAUAUAUUGGU